GGUGGUUCAAUGGUAGAAUGCUUGCCUUGCAUGCAUGAGGCCCUGGGUUUGAUUCUCAGCACCA
rnacentral:tRNA from 1 species